rnacentral:rRNA from 1 species
GACGGAGGAGGCAAGCGUUAUCCGGAAUUACUGGGCGUAAAGGGCGCGUAGGCGGCUGGUCAAGUCAGGGGUCAAAGGCCACAGCUCAACUGUGGGCAUGCCCUGGAGACUGACGGGCUAGAGUGAGGUAGGGGUUGCGGGAAUUCCCGGUGUAGCGGUGAAAUGCGUAGAGAUCGGGAAGAACACCUGAGGCGGAAGCGCGCAACUGGGCCUCUACUGACGCUGAGGUACGAAAGCUAGGGGAGCGAACGGG